rnacentral:rRNA from 1 species
CCUACGGGAGGCAGCAGUGAGGAAUAUUGGUCAAUGGGCGCAAGCCUGAACCAGCCAUGCCGCGUGAAGGAUGACGGCCCUAUGGGUUGUAAACUUCUUUUGUACGGGAAAAAACCACCGGUCGUGUAUCGGUGCUGAUGGUACCGUAAGAAUAAGCAUCGGCUAACUCCGUGCCAGCAGCCGCGGUAAUACGGAGGAUGCAAGCGUUAUCCGGAUUCAUUGGGUUUAAAGGGUGCGCAGGCGGAGUGAUAAGUCAGUGGUGAAAUCCUGCCGCUUAACGGUAGAAUUGCCAUUGAUACUGAAAAGCUUGAGUACAUUUGAGGUAAGCGGAAUGUGUAGUGUAGCGGUGAAAUGCUUAGAUAUUACACAGAACACCAAUUGCGAAGGCAGCUUACUAAACUGAUACUGACGCUGAUGCACGAAAGCGUGGGGAUCAAACAGGAUUAGAUACCCUGGUAGUCCACGCCGUAAACGAUGAUAACUCGCUGUUGGCGAUACACAGUCAGCGGCUUAGCGAAAGCGUUAAGUUAUCCACCUGGGGAGUACGCUCGCAAGAGUGAAACUCAAAGGAAUUGACGG